UACGUAGGGUGCGAGCGUUGUCCGGAAUUAUUGGGCGUAAAGGGCUCGUAGGCGGUUUGUCACGUCGGGAGUGGAAACUCGGGGCUUAACCCCGAGCCUGCUUCCGAUACGGGCAGACUAGAGGUAUGCAGGGGAGAACGGAAUUCCUGGUGUAGCGGUGAAAUGCGUAGAUAUUGGGAGGAACACCAGUGGCGAAGGCGGCUCGCUGGACCGGAACUGACGCUGAGGCGCGAAAGCGUGGGGAGCAAACAGG
rnacentral:rRNA from 1 species